rnacentral:rRNA from 1 species
GAUGAACGCUGGCGGCGUGCCUAAUACAUGCAAGUAGAACGCUGAAGGAAGGAGCUUGCUCUUUCCGGUUGAGUUGCGAACGGGUGAGUAACGCGUAGGUAACCUGCCUGGUAGCGGGGGAUAACUAUUGGAAACGAUAGCUAAUACCGCAUAACAGUAGAUGUUGCAUGAUAUCUACUUAAAAGGUGCAAUUGCACUACUACCAGAUGGACCUUCGUUGUAUUAGCUAGUUGGUGAGGUAACGGCUCACCAAGGCGACGAUACAUAGCCGACCGGAGAGGGUGAUCGGCCACACUGGGACUGAGACACGGCCCAGACUCCUACGGGAGGCAGCAGUAGGGAAUCUUCGGCAAUGGACGGAAGUCUGACCGAGCAACGCCGCGUGAGUGAAGAAGGUUUUCGGAUCGUAAAGCUCUGUUGUAAGAGAAGAACGAGUGUGAGAGUGGAAAGUUCACACUGUGACGGUAUCUUACCAGAAAGGGACGGCUAACUACGUG